AUACGUAGGGUGCGAGCGUUGUCCGGAAUUACUGGGCGUAAAGAGCUCGUAGGUGGUUUGUCGCGUCGUCUGUGAAAUUCCGGGGCUUAACUCCGGGCGUGCAGGCGAUACGGGCAUAACUUGAGUACUGUAGGGGAGACUGGAAUACCUGGUGUAGCGGUGAAAUGCGCAGAUAUCAGGAGGAACACCGGUGGCGAAGGCGGGUCUCUGGGCAGUAACUGACGCUGAGGAGCGAAAGCAUGGGUAGCGAACAGGAUUAGAUACCCUGGUAGUCCAUGCCGUAAACGGUGGGCGCUAGGUGUAGGGGUCUUCCACGACUUCUGUGCCGUAGCUAACGCAUUAAGCGCCCCGCCUGGGGAGUACGGCCGCAAGGCUAAAACUCAAAUGAAUUGACGGGG
rnacentral:rRNA from 1 species